rnacentral:rRNA from 1 species
CCUACGGGAGGCAGCAGUGGGGAAUAAUGCACAAUGGGGGAAACCCUGAUGCAGCGACGCCGCGUGAGUGAAGAAGGAAUUUGUUAUGUAAAGCUCUAUUAGUAGGGAAGAAAAUGAAGGUAAUUGAGCAAGAAGCGCCGGCUAACUAUGUGCCAGUAGCCGCGGGAAUACGAAGGGGGCAAGCGCUAUCCGGAUUUAAUGGGAGUAAAGGGAGCGUAGACGGCAGUGCAAGUCUGGAGUGAAAGGCGGGGGCUCAACCCCCGGACUGCACAGGAAACUGUGCGACUGGAGUGCAGGAGAGGGAAGUGGAAUUCUUGGUGUAGCAGUGAAAUGCGUAGAUAUUAAGAGGAACACCAGUGGCGAAGGCGGCUUACUGGACUGUAACUGACGUUGAGGCUCGAAGGCGAGGGGAGCGAACGGGAUUAGAUACCCCAGUAGUC